rnacentral:rRNA from 1 species
CGGGAUGGACGUACCUCUGGUGUACCAGUUGUCCUGCCAAGGGCAUGGCUGGGUAGCUAUGUACGGAAUGGAUAAGCGCUGAAAGCAUCUAAGCGCGAAGCCAACUUCAAGAUAAGAUUUCCCACCGUAAGGGUAAGACCCCAGAAAGACUAUCUGGUUGAUAGGUCGAAGGUGUAAGUGCAGCAAUGUAUUUAGCUUAUCGAUACUAAUAGGUCGAGGACUUGACCAA